CGGAGGAAAAGAAACCAACAGGGAUUCCCUUAGUAACGGCGAGUGAACCGGGAAAAGCUCAAAUUUGAAAUCUGCCAACAGGCCGAGUUGUAAUUUGUAGAUGGCUACACUGCAUAAUAGUAGAUGCUCAAGUUCUUUGGAAAAAGACAUCAUGGAGGGUGACAAUCCCGUGAGGCAUGUUACUAGGAGCAUAUAGUGGGCUUUCUAAGAGUCGAGUUGUUUGGGAAUGCAGCUCAAAGUGCGUGGUGAAUACCAUGUAAAGCUAAAUAUGGACGAGAGACCGAUAGCGAACAAGUACUGUGAAGGAAAGAUGAAAAGCACUCCGAAAGGAGAGUGAAAUAGUACGUGAAAUUGUUAAAGUGGAAGGGCUUGAGAUCAGAAUUGGUAGUUUGGGUUCCACGUCCUCUUGGGGGCGUGUACUCCCUUUCCACCGGGCCAGCGGGAGUUUCGUCUCUUGGGUAAAAGCAGUGGAAUGUAGCAGCUUGUCUGUAUUAUAGCCUCUGUUCAUACAAGACGUCGAGACUUGAUUUGUUGGCGUAAUGAUCUCUAGCCACCCGUC
rnacentral:rRNA from 1 species